GCAGACUCACUCUGUUCUUUGCUGCUCACUCCAGCCUUGAACUUUUUCUGUCUGCUACAUACACUUGCAGAAUUACAGCAUUUACCUGCUGUCUGAAAGAGCUUGUGUCACUGUGUUCUGCAACAAUAGA